AUUGAACGCUGGCGGCAGGCCUAACACAUGCAAGUCGAGCGGAUGAAGGGAGCUUGCUCCUGGAUUCAGCGGCGGACGGGUGAGUAAUGCCUAGGAAUCUGCCUGGUAGUGGGGGAUAACGUCCGGAAACGGGCGCUAAUACCGCAUACGUCCUGAGGGAGAAAGUGGGGGAUCUUCGGACCUCACGCUAUCAGAUGAGCCUAGGUCGGAUUAGCUAGUUGGUGGGGUAAAGGCCUACCAAGGCGACGAUCCGUAACUGGUCUGAGAGGAUGAUCAGUCACACUGGAGCUUAGACAAGGUCCAGGCUCCUAAGGGAGGCAGGAGUGGGGAAUAUUGGACAAUGGGCGGAAGCCUGAUCCAGCCAUGCCGCGUGGGUGAAGAAGGUCUUCGGAUUGUAAAGCACUUUUAGUUGGGAGGAAGGGCAGUAAGGUAAUACCUUGCUGUUUUGACGUUAACAACAGAAUAAGCAACGGCUAACUUCGUU
rnacentral:rRNA from 1 species